AGAGUUUGAUCAUGGCUCAGGACGAACGCUGGCGGCGUGCUUAACACAUGCAAGUCGAACGGAGACGGUGGAGAGCUUGCUCGAAGCUGUCUUAGUGGCGGACGGGUGAGUAACGCGUGAACAAUCUGUCUCACACAGGGGGAUAACGCAUCGAAAGAUGUGCUAAUACCGCGUAGGACCACGGGGUCGCAUGAUUCUGAGGUGAAAGGAGAAAUCCGGUGUGAGGUGAGUUCGCGUCUGAUUAGAUAGUUGGUGAGGUAACGGCCCACCAAGUCAACGAUCAGUAGCCGACCUGAGAGGGUGAUCGGCCACAUUGGGACUGAGACACGGCCCAGACUCCUACGGGAGGCAGCAGUGGGGAAUAUUGGGCAAUGGGCGAAAGCCUGACCCAGCAACGCCGCGUGAAGGAAGAAGGUUUUCGGAUCGUAAACUUCUGUCCUUGGUGAAGAUAAUGACGGUAGCCAAGGAGGAAGCCCCGGCUAACUACGUGCCAGCAGCCGCGGUAAUACGUAGGGGGCGAGCGUUGUCCGGAAUGAUUGGGCGUAAAGGGCGCGUAGGCGGCCUGUUAAGUCUGGAGUGAAAGUCCUGUUUUCAA
rnacentral:rRNA from 1 species